GGGCUAUAGCUCAGCUGGGAGAGCGCUUGCAUGGCAUGCAAGAGGUCGACGGUUCGAUCCCGUCUAGCUCCACCAA
rnacentral:tRNA from 3 species